rnacentral:rRNA from 1 species
UAAUACGGAGGAUGCAAGCGUUAUCCGGAAUGAUUGGGCGUAAAGGGUCCGCAGGUGGCAUUGAAAGUCUGCUGUUAAAGAGUUUGGCUCAACCAAAUAAGAGCAGUGGAAACUACAAAGCUAGAGUUUGGUCGGGGCAGAGGGAAUUCCUGGUGUAGCGGUGAAAUGCGUAGAUAUCAGGAAGAACACCAGUGGCGAAGGCGCUCUGCUAGGCCGAGACUGACACUGAAGGACGAAAGCUAGGGGAGCGAAUGGGAUUAGAUACCCCAGUAGUCCUAGCCGUAAACGAUGGAUACUAGGCGUAGCUCGUAUCGACCCGAGCUGUGCCGGAGCUAACGCGUUAAGUAUCCCGCCUGGGGAGUACGCAGGCAACUGUGAAACUCAAAGGAAUUGACGGGGGCCCGCACAAGCGGUGGAGUAUGUGGUUUAAUUCGAUGCAACGCGAAGAACCUUACCAAGGCUUGACAUGUCACGAAUCCUGUAGAAAUAUAGGAGUGCCUUCGGGA